rnacentral:rRNA from 1 species
CGGGUACNGGUCCUGGAUAGGACGAUCAGGUCCACACUCGGGACUCGAGUACACGGACCCAGACGUCCUACCGGGAGGUCAGGCAUCGGGGAAGUUUUCCGGCAAUUGGGCGUAAAGGACCUGUACCGGAGCAAGUACCGACGUUCGGGGGAACGUAAGGGCUACUUCGGGGUUGUAAAACCCCGUUUUCGUCUCGGGUAAGAAAGUUGUGUAAAGCAACCUGACGGUACCAGACGGAAUCAGCAUCGGCUAACUCCGUGCCAGCAGCCGCGGUAAGACGGAGGAUGCAAGCGUUAUCCGGAAUGAUUGGGCGUAAAGCGUCCGCAGGUGGCAGUUCAAGUCUGCUGUCAAAGACCGGGGCUUAACUUCGGAAAGGCAGUGGAAACUGAACAGCUAGAGUAUGGUAGGGGCAGAGGGAAUUCCUGGUGUAGCGGUGAAAUGCGUAGAGAUCAGGAAGAACAUCGGUGGCGAAGGCGCUCUGCUGGACCAUAACUGACACUCAGGGACGAAAGCUAGGGGGGGCGAAUGGGAUUAGAUACCCCAGUAGUCCUAGCCGUAAACGAUGGAUACUAGGUGUUGUC